CUUCGCUCAGGCUCCAGGCUUCAAUUGUCAAAUACGGGGAGGGCCCGCUAUUAAAGACAGUCAGUUGAGGCAGUCCAAGUCAGCAGAUGAAGGGAAGGGGAAUUAAGACGAACAGGAAACCAGUCAAGAAGAUGGCAAAAAGGCUGCCUCCGUCAGGUGUGAUGUAAUUGAGCACUUUGCCUCUAGCCUCCAGCGCAUGCCGGGAGGCGCGCAACUCGUCAUCCUCUGCUGACGACCAUAUAUCUGCCACUGAGCGGCGCGCGACGCUCCCAUCCGAAAACGCGAUCAGUAGGCCACCUUUAGGCUCUGCUGAAAUUGGCGGCGUCAUUGUAAAGGAAACAUCCCCAAAGGACUUCCAAAGUGCAGUGCCAGAAUGAAUGGGGAAAUCAACCUGUGUACCCGUCGUUGGGCCUUCCCCAUCCAAAAUGACGCAGAUAAUUCUAGGAUACAACUCCUGGAGGGAGUCGGCAUCUGAAUUUUUUUGUUUACCCUCGUAGUAUGUCAACAGUAGUUUAGCUCCUGAACGACUGAAGGAACGGAUGCGGAUCCUAGCCCAGCCAUCUGCAAUACGUUCUUCAAUAGAGAACUGGAAUGCCGCCGUAAGGUCUCCAGCGUUCCAACGCUCAGAGCCAAAUAGCUCCAAGAUCUCCAACCAUCGGCGGUCGCGGACCCUUGCCGCUCGAGUAGAGCUGAAGCAAGUCUGCGAUAUGGAUUCCCGAUUUUCAGGGUUCCAAACCUCCUC
rnacentral:sRNA from 2 species